CAUGUCCUUUUGAGAAUAAUUUAAGGUCUGAUCUGCUCAAUGAAAUUUAAAUUGCCGCAGUAUUUUGACUGUGCAAAGGUAGCAUAAUAAUUAGUUUUUUAAUUAAGAACUGGUAUGAAUGAUUUGACAAGAAAAUUACUGUCUCUUUUUUAAUUUUUAUUGAAUUUUAUUUUUAAGUGAAAAAGCUUAAAUUUUUAUAAAAGACGAGAAGACCCUAUAGAGUUUGAUAUUCUUAGCAAUUUAAAGAUAGAAUUUUUUUUUGAAAAAGUUUAUUUAGUUGGGGUGAUUUGAAGAUUUAAUAAAUUCUUUAACAUAAAAAAUUAGUGAUUUCUAAAAUAAUAUUCUAUAAUUUAUAAUUUUAAAAUAAAUUACCUUAGGGAUAACAGCGUAAUUUUUCUUUAAAGUUCUUAUUAAAAGAAAAGUUUGCGACCUCGAUGUUGGAUUAAAGUUAAUUUUUGGUGCAAUAACUUAAAAAUUAGGUCUGUUCGACCUUUAAAACUUUACAUGAUCUGAGUUUAAACCGGUGUAAACCAGGUUGGAUUCUAUCUUUAAAUAGUUAAUAUAUUUUAGUACGAAAGGACCAAAUAUUUAUUAAAUUAAUUG
rnacentral:rRNA from 1 species